rnacentral:rRNA from 1 species
GACAGAGGGGGCAAGCGUUGCUCGGAAUCACUGGGCGUAAAGCGUGCGUAGGUGGUUUGUUAAGUCUGAUGUGAAAGCCCUGGGCUCAACCUGGGAACGGCAUUGGAAACUGGCUUACUAGAGUGCGGUAGAGGGGUGUGGAAUUCCCGGUGUAGCAGUGAAAUGCGUAGAUAUCGGGAGGAACAUCUGUGGCGAAGGCGACACCCUGGACCAGCACUGACACUGAGGCACGAAAGCGUGGGGAGCAAACAGG